ensembl:lncRNA
AUGAAAAACAAAGCGUUGCUAUGGACGCAGGAUUCUAACCUUAGAGACGGAAAGGGCUAUAUUUUCUUUAUUAUUUUCUUUAUUAUUUUUUCACAUUAUCCCUUACAUAAUAUAACUGGGUAUAUAAGCUCACACACAGCGUACUCACACCUCACUCACUCUGGACAUCCCAACUGGACAUCCCAACUGGACAUCCCAACUGUCAGUUUCUCUGAGACCCUGCCCUACAGACAGACUAGCACGAUGUCAUCUCAGAAGAGAAAAAAACACAUAGCUGUGUCACACAACUGGAUGCCUGCAGAAGCUAGGAAAAGAGAAUACAAACGACUAUGGCAGAGGGUGCAAAGGAAAAUGAGAAGUGUGCACAUUAACGCAGCUGGUCCUAGUACUGUGCUAGACAGUGAAGCACACAAUCCCAGGGACACUAUGCCAAUCUGGAACCCAGGCCUAAAAAAUGCAAUGACUGGAGAAUCUAAUAGUGACAGCGAUGAAAUGUCGUUUGUCAAUACUGACAUCAAUGCAGUCUCAUCGCUACAACAUACAAUGGCAGAAGACACAGAGAAUAUGGUUCUUGAAUAUUCCGGUAGUGACAUGGAUGGAGAGUUUUUUGAGAAUACUGCCAACAUUGAUAUGCCCACAGAAAAUUUAGCAGAGGAGUUAAAGAGGUGGAUCAUUGAAUAUAAUAUCAAGCACAAUGCUGCAGAAAAACUGCUCAAAAUUCUCAGGGAUCAAGGGCAUAAACACCUGCCAUCUACUACUAAAAACAUUAUUAAAAAAACGGAUCCUGUUGAAAGCCAAAUGGUGUCUGGUGUGGAAUGCAUUAAAUUUGGAGUGACUGAACAAUUAAUCCUGUGCUUGAAUCGGUAUCCCAACAAUUAUGCAAAAAGACAUCACUGAGCUUGAGAUUUCCCUCAAUGUAGAUGGACUGCCACUCUUUAAGAGCACUGGUAAAUCUUUCUGGCCUGUACUCUGCACAGUACAUCUAAAACCAGCAAGCACAUUUCCUUUGACCAUUGCCCUUACUGAGGCCAAGCCCAAAUCACUGGACUUCAUUAAAGUCAUAUCAGAUGAACUGAAAAUGAUUCUAAUGAAUGGCUUUGCAUGGGGAGAAACAACACUCAAUGUAAG